rnacentral:lncRNA from 1 species
UCCCUUACCCUGACCCUAACCUUCCAACCGUUGAUUCCUGCAGCAAUCUUCCCUAAGGGAGACACCCCGGCUGUAGGCUCACUUCCUCUCCCAAGUCCCAUUCCUUUCACAAGAGUCAAAUCCCUACAGUGGAUUCCUGGACCGUUUUUUCUAAAAGAAGAUCCCAGUCCUCUGGCUUGCCCCUCCCGUCGUGACUCCCAUAUUUGAUGGGUCUGAAUGAAAAUCUGAUGAAACAGAUGUUACUUGAAGCUGAGUGACUUUCUCAGGGUCAAGCAAAUAAGUAAAUGGAGGAGCCAGAAUUAUACCCCAGGAUCCCCAUCACAAGGAGGGGAGGGCUACCAUCCCAGCUGCAAACUCUCAUUCAAGGUUUAUGCUGCAGCCAGCAGUGUCCUUGGAGUCUAGUUCAAAGCUGAAGAGAGUGAACCAUGGAACUGGGAGCCAUUGGCGGAGAGGCUGGCCUGAAGGAAGGGAAGUGUUUCAGCCAGAAUGUACUGACGCACAACCAGGAAACCACAAGACUGGUGAGAACCUUUCCAAAACUGAGCUUUAUGAUCAAAAGAGGUACAGGAAACAGCUCUGCCAAGAGUCCUUUCUGCUCCUGGCUGGAACCCUGAGCUUCUGAGGCUCUCUGAGUCAACUCUCUGAACAGAUGCUGUCACCCAAGGAACCAUCACUAAAGCAUUUUUUUGCUUUGCUCUGAGGUGGCCUCACUGGUGGGUGCAAGUGAGUUACUGUCUCUUUUUCUCUUUCUUGUUUCUUUCUUUUGACAGAAGUUGCCAUGUGAUUACUCAAUUCUGAAUUUUAGAGGCCAUAGGUUACUGCAUUUAUGCCCUUUGCCAACUGACUAUUGUUUGGUGCUGGGCCUGCAUACAAACACGACAUCCCCAAACUCUUAUCAAUACCUAGAUCACCUGAUGUGAAUCUAUCAAUACCCUGGACUUAACAGGGUAUUGAAGGAAAGAGAACCGGCAAUUCCUUCAUUUCUUACAUCCCAGCCAGUAGUCCUUCUCCCAGGCUAGUCUUCCUUUUGUUUCCCCUAAGAAUGACUCAACUAGGAAUUGCAUUCUGAUCCCUGUCACAGAUAUAAAUCUUGUCUGGAUACAAGGUCAAAAUAAUUGUGUUCCUGUGGAUUCUUUUUCUUUUUUCAACCAGAGUAACUACCAGUUGCCAUGAAAUAAAUCACAUCAUCAUAUGGCAGAUCCAGCUAAUAGCUGAGACUGGCAGGAUAACUGAACCGUGUACUCAGAGCUAAAUGAUGGAGAAAUUGGACUGGCCAUGGAGCACUUCAAAUUGAUUGCUUAGUAAUGGGAUAUUUUUCCUGGAAAGACAACAGAAUACUUCUGAAUUGUUGGUUCUGUCAUGGGUACAGGCUCCCAUGUACAGGAAAAUAAAGAAAGUGUGAUGAAUUUUUCAUCUGGCCUUCUGCCUACUUUCUUGCUUUCUGCAUGUCUCCAUUUUUAGUCUGUAAGCCCUGCCUAGAUGACCAAUCACUAUUGCCCAUGUGGCAUAAAACCUACAAUUUAACUAUACUUCUUACCAAACUCUCAGCAAGUAUGAGGUAGCCAACAGCCUUUUCAAGAUAAUGACUGAGUCUUAGCUUAGGUUUCAGUCAUUUUAGGAAACAUAAAAAAUUCAAUGGUGGGAGAUCAUACACACUCUGCAAAGAUGUCAGAAGUCAAGUUUUGGGAGAGUCCACACACAAACUGAGCAGUGAUGGUAAAAUAUAUUUUUGAAAUAUUUCUCCUCUGUGACUGUUAUGUGAAGUAGAGCAAACACAUUGUGCUGCAGUGCUCUUUGGGACAUGCCUUUUUUGGGAAGUGCUAACUUUAUACUCUGCUGACACCAAACAUUUGAAUAUAAAACCUUAUUUUUUUCUCUCACUCUGCUCCACUUUUGGCUCAGCUUAUUCUACCAAAACACACUUCAAAAGACUUCUUUAUAGAAAGAAUGUUUCAAAAAUAUAAUAUUUCCAUCUGUUAUUUCAAUAAUACAUGCUCUGGGACUCUCUUUAUGAACCACUUUCCUUUCUUUGCUCCCAUUUAGAUGUAUAAAUAUUUGAUUGUAAAGCUCUAAGGAAUAGUCAGCCAAUCGGGUCACUGAAUUGUGAACAUUCCUAACCCUAUAAUUUUGUCUGUAGCAGGCACCUCCUGCUGUGGAACUAACUGCUAAGGGAUUAUAGCAAUGUAAUCCUCAGACUGUUCCAUCUCAAGGUUACUCUGAAGUGGAGGGAAGGAAGCCGUUUUAAUUUUGAUAAAAUAAACUUUAUUUUGUAACUUU